rnacentral:misc_RNA from 1 species
UACGGAGGGUGCAAGCGUUUAUCGGAAUUACUGGGCGUAAAGCGCACGCAGGCGGUCUGUCAAGUCGGAUGUGAAAUCCCCAGGCUCAAACUGGGUACUGCAUCCGAAACUGGCAGACUAGAGUCUAGGAGAGGGGGGUAGAAGUCCAGGUGUAGCGGUGAAAUGCGUAGAGAUCUGGAGGAAUACCGGUGGCGAAGGCGGCCCCCUGGACAAAGACUGACGCUCAGGUGCGAAAGCGUGGGGAGCAAACAGG